rnacentral:lncRNA from 1 species
UGACUUGGUUCAAUCUGAGGAAUGCCAACAUUGUUUAGAAAAGCUCAUACUAAGACAGGUGUGAAGGAGGGGGGUGACUGUAAGGAUCUGAUGGAGGCAUUUGCAGCCUGUCUGAAGAGUGCAGCGGAGGCGCCGUGAGGAGAGCUAGACUCACACAAAAUGUCCAAUGCACAGGGUCCUCCAUGUUUCCCAGCAUUCCCUUCUGCACAUCAAGCACUGGGCUGAAUGAUACUGGUGGUGUUCAGCGCCUGGCAGAAACCAUCCACCUCUUUACCUCCCUCCCCAACCCACCUUGAAGCUUAAAUGGUGUCUUCUGAUUUAUACCCCUGCGCUGCUCCCACCGUGGCUGAGUACAUCCAAUUGGUAGACAAUUCUGGAGAGCCUAUGGGUUUUAUGCAAAUUGUCCACUUGAGAUGCAUACAUUUAAAUGGAAUAAUAAAG